rnacentral:piRNA from 1 species
UGCUCUUGUUGUUCUUGUUGUUUGCCUCUC